GGGGAAUAUUGCACAAUGGAGGAAACUCUGAUGCAGCAACGCCGCGUGGAGGAUGACGCAUUUCGGUGUGUAAACUCCUUUUAUAUAGGAAGAUAAUGACGGUACUAUAUGAAUAAGCACCGGCUAACUCCGUGCCAGCACCGCGGUAAUA
rnacentral:rRNA from 1 species